rnacentral:rRNA from 1 species
AAUGAACGCUGGCGGCAGGCUUAACACAUGCAAGUCGAACGCCCCGCAAGGGGAGUGGCGCACGGGUGAGGAACACGUGGGGAUCUGCCCUUCAGUUCGGAACAACACCGGGAAACUGGUGCUAAUACCGGAUAUACCUUUUGGUCUUGGCGACCGAUUGGGAAAGAUUUAUCGCUGAAGGAUGAACCCGCGUCUGAUUAGCUAGUUGGUGAGGUAACGGCUCACCAAGGCGACGAUCAGUAGCUGGUCUGAGAGGACGAUCAGCCACACUGGAACUGAGACACGGUCCAGACUCCUACGGGAGGCAGCAGUGGGGAAUAUUGGACAAUGGGCGAAAGCCUGAUCCAGCCAUGCCGCGUGAGUGAUGAAGGCCUUCGGGUUGUAAAGCUCUUUUAGAUGGGAAGAUAAUGACGGUACCAUCAGAAUAAGCCCCGGCUAACUUCGUGCCAGCCGCCGCAGUAA